GUUCUGUCUGCUAAAUAAAUCACAGGUUUAUAUUAUUGGACUCGCCCAACCCUGUCGCUACUCAGUUGCUGUUAGCACCCAGAAGCUGAUUAUUUUCAUAUAACAGCAUUUUUCCUGAGUGUUUUAUAAGUGAGUAAAACUUCAGUGGUGGUAUUUACUGAUGUACUGUGUAUAACAGUGGUGGGCCGUCCAUUUCAGACCUAGGCCUUCACUGGUGUCCUUCCUGAAUUAAUCCACCUCUAUACCUUCAUUAUGACAUCACCAUGGGCAUCGCUAGGCCAUUUUCUACUCAGCCCCCCUAAAAUUCUGCGAUUCUCCAUAAACUCUACACAAAUUGGUGAUCACCUCAGUCCCCUUUAACUUUCAUAUGAAAACUCUGGCAGAUUUCGGCUCCUCCCCGUCUUUCAGCGCGUUCUUCAAUCCGCAGAGCGAGGAUCAGAGGACGUGUGUGUGUGUGUGUGGGUGUGUGUGUGUGUGUAUGUGUGUGUGUAUGUGUGUGUGUGUGUGUGUGUAUUUGUGUGAUCAGGAAGACUCGUAUUUGGCUUGUUCAGUACUCAAAUGUUAUACACAUCUAUGCAAUACAGUGGAAUGCUGCAAUACGUUUACCAUCCUACCCUGUUAGUCAAACCUUUAUUUUAUUUAUUUAUUAAUUUAUUUUUUACUAUUAUACCCUCAUUGGGGGCCGAGCCCCCCUUAAAUGAGAAUUCUAGAAUCGCCCCUGGAAGCCACGGCAAAUACUAAUCAACCGUUAAAUAACAAAAUAAAAAAGAAAUUAUUCUACAGUAUUUCACACCUCACAAGGAAUAGUCCAUUUUAUUACAGUUACUUUUCUCCAAAAAAAAAAAAUUCUUGUUGCCGUAUGCAGCAAACUGCAAUCUCUGGAGGACGCAGCAUCCGAAAUGAGACGCAAAGGAUAUAGAAAUGAUAUUCUCAAUAAUAGAAGAUAUGCUUGUUUAAAAAAUUGUUUAUUUUUCACAGUUAAAAGUUUUGUGCUAAAAGCUUUUCUUUAUCUCAGCUGAGGUGUGGAAGCUGCAUGCUGUAUGGGGAGCUGCUGCUGCACUCGUUCCUGCUCUGCUUCUCUCUCUUAUUAUCGCUGUCCUGUGUAUUAAGAGGAAGAAAAGAUCAGAGAGAGACACUCAGUGUGUUCCAACACCUGGAGAUGAUACAUACACAGCGCUGAACCUCAUGACUGUGUCCCCAGAAUAUGACACACUGCAAAAUGUGGCUUCAGUAAAGAGAACUCCAGAACUGGAGAAUGAUCACUAACAGCUGAGUUUGGUGACUUUACAUUCAGCAUCAUGACCAGCACAGGAAGGAUGCUCAGGGUGAGAGUUUUAGGAUUAGACUUAAACAGUAUUAACUCAUUUCUGUCUUUAGUAAUUGUCAUUUAUUUAUGUUAUUCAGGCUCCUUUUGUUUAUCUGUUGUCUUUUGUACAUUUAAUAAUUUUAUACACACACAUACAUAUAUAACAUGUGUAUUGGCCUGAAGAAAUCCUGAACAUUUUCUACUAUAUCCUGCUUUCUCUCAUCGUCUCUCUUCUUUCACUUGAUCUGUUAAAGCACCGAAUACCGACCUCCAUCAAGAUCGAUUUUUAAUAUGUCGGAUCUGUUACUGUAAAAUCUUUAAAAUGUUAAUGUUUACAAGAAUAAAUUGAGCU